rnacentral:rRNA from 1 species
AUGCAAGUCGUACGAGAGUUUUUAACUCAAGUGGCGGACGGGUGAGUAACACGUGAGAGUUUACCUUUAGGAGGGGGAUAACAAUUGGAAACGAUUGCUAAUACCCCAUAUGCUUUUUUAAGUGAAAUGGAUUUUUCCGCCUAAAGAAAAGCUCGCGGCUGAUUAGCUAGUUGGUAAGGUAAUGGCUUACCAAGGCGACGAUCAGUAUCUGGUUUGAGAGGACGAUCAGACACACUGGAACUGAGACACGGUCCAGACUCCUACGGGAGGCAGCAGUGGGGAAUUUUCCGCAAUGGGCGAAAGCCUGACGGAGCAAUACCGCGUGAGGGAAGAAAGCCUACUGGGUUGUAAACCUCUUUUUUCAGGGAGGAAAAAAAUGACGUGUACCUGAAGAAUAAGCAUCGGCUAACUCCGUGCCAGCAGCCGCGGUAAGACGGAGGAUGCAAGUGUUAUCCGGAAUUACUGGGCGUAAAGCGUCUGUAGGUUGUUUAAUAAGUCAACUGUUAAAUCUUGAGGCUUAACUUCAAAACAGCAGUCGAAACUAUUAGACUAGAGUAUAGUAGGGGUAAAGGGAAUUUCCAGUGGAGCGGUGAAAUGCGUAGAUAUUGGAAAGAACACCGAUGGCGAAAGCACUUUACUGGGCUAUUACUGACACUCAGAGACGAAAGCUAGGGUAGCAAAUGGGAUUAGAUACCCCAGUAGUCCUAGCUGUAAACAAUGGAUACUAGAUGUUGAACAGAUCGACCUGUGCAGU